UUCCGGUUGAUCCUGCCGGACCUGACUGCUAUCGGAUUGAUACUAAGCCAUGCGAGUCAUUGUAGCAAUACAAGGCAGACGGCUCAGUAACGCGUAGUCAACCUACCCUAUGGACGGGGAUAACCUCGGGAAACUGAGAAUAAUACCAGAUAGAACAUGAUGCCUGGAAUGGUUUAUGUUUCAAAUGAUUUAUUGCCGUAGGAUGGGACUGCGGCCUAUCAGUUUGUUGGUGAGGUAAUGGCCCACCAAGACUAUUACAGGUACGGGCUCUGAGAGGAGUAGCCCGGAGAUGGGUACUGAGACACGGACCCAGGCCCUAUGGGGCGCAGCAGGCGAGAAAACUUUGCAAUGUGCGAAAGCACGACAAGGUUAAUCCGAGUGGUUUCUGCUAAAGGAACCUUUUGUUAGUCAUAGAACCACUAAUGAAUAAGGGGUGGGCAAGUUCUGGUGUCAGCCGCCGCGGUAAAACCAGCACCUCAAGUGGUCAGGAUGAUUAUUGGGCCUAAAGCAUCCGUAGCCGGCUUUGUCAGUUUUCGGUUAAAUCCAUGCGCUCAACGUAUGGGCUGCCGGGAAUACUGCAAGGCUAGGGAGUGGGAGAGGUAGACGGUACUCGGUAGGAAGGGGUAAAAUCCUUUGAUCUAUUGAUGACCACCUGUGGCGAAGGCGGUCUACCAGAACACGUCCGACGGUGAGGGAUGAAAGCUGGGGGAGCAAACCGGAUUAGAUACCCGGGUAGUCCCAGCUGUAAACUAUGCAAACUCGGUGAUGCAUUGGCUUGAUGCCAAUGCAGUGCCGCAGGGAAGCCGUUAAGUUUGCCGCCUGGGAAGUACGUACGCAAGUAUGAAACUUAAAGGAAUUGGCGGGGGAGCACCACAAGGGGUGAAGCCUGCGGUUCAAUUGGAAUCAACGCCGGU
rnacentral:rRNA from 1 species